rnacentral:rRNA from 1 species
UACGUAGGGUGCGAGCGUUAAUCGGAAUUACUGGGCGUAAAGCGUGCGCAGGCGGUGAUGUAAGACAGAUGUGAAAUCCCCGGGCUUAACCUGGGAACUGCAUUUGUGACUGCAUCGCUGGAGUGCGGCAGAGGGGGAUGGAAUUCCGCGUGUAGCAGUGAAAUGCGUAGAUAUGCGGAGGAACACCGAUGGCGAAGGCAAUCCCCUGGGCCUGCACUGACGCUGAUGAGCGAAAGCUAGGGGAGCAAACGGG